rnacentral:rRNA from 1 species
GAUGAACGCUGGCGGCGUGCUUAACACAUGCAAGUCGAACGGAAAGGCUCCUGCUUGCAGAGGUACUCGAGUGGCGAACGGGUGAGUAACACGUGGGUGAUCUGCCCUGCACUUCGGGAUAAGCCUGGGAAACUGGGUCUAAUACCGGAUAGGACGAUGGUUUGGAUGCCAUUGUGGAAAGUUUUUUCGGUGUGGGAUGAGCUCGCGGCCUAUCAGCUUGUUGGUGGGGUAAUGGCCUACCAAGGCGUCGACGGGUAGCCGGCCUGAGAGGGUGUACGGCGACAUUGGGACUGAGAUACGGCGCAGAAUCCUACGGGAGGCAGCAGUGGGGAAUCUUGCGCAAUGGGGGCAAGCCUGAUGCAGCGACGCCGCGUGGGGGAUGACGGCCUUCGGGUUGUAAACUCCUUUCGAUAGGGACGAAGCGCAAGUGACGGUACCUGGAGAAGAAGCACCGGCUAACUACGUG